rfam:Echinococcus multilocularis genomic scaffold, pathogen_EmW_scaffold_03
GGGGUACUAGCUCAAAUGGUAGAGCGCUCGCUUAGCAUGCGAGAGGUACUAGGAUCGAUGCCCAGGUACUCCA